rnacentral:rRNA from 1 species
GCAAGUCGAGCGAGAAAGUCACUUCGGUGGCGAGUAGAGCGGCGAACGGGUGAGUAAUACAUGAGAAUCUGCCUUUUAGUGAGGGAUACCUUCGGGAAACUGAAGUUAAUACCGCAUACGUCCCUUCGGGGAGAAAGAUGGCCUCUUGCUGUCGCUAAAAGAUGAGCUCAUGCUCUAUUAGUUUGUUGGUGAGGUAAAGGCUCACCAAGACGAUGAUGGAUAGCCGGCCUGAGAGGAUGAUC